UGAAUACGAGACGCUAAGGCGUCGAAGUAGUGUAUGUCAUACUUCCAAGAAAAGCUUGCACUGUCAUAGAUAAAAAACGCCUGUACCAUAACCGACACAGGUGGGUAGGUAGAGUAUACUAAGGGGCGCGAGAUAACUCUCUCUAAGGAACUCGGCAAAAUAACUCCGUAACUUCGGGAGAAGGAGUGCCUUAUUCGUAAGGUUGCAAUAACAAGAUCCAAGCAACUGUUUAUCAAAAACACAGGUCUCCGCUAAGUCGUAAGACGAUGUAUGGGGGCUGACGCCUGCCCAGUGCCAGAAGGUUAAAGAAGUUGGUUAGCAAUUGCGAAGCUGAUAACUGAAGCCCUGGUGAACGGCGGCCGUAACCAUAACGGUCCUAAGGUAGCGAAAUUCCUUGUCGGGUAAGUUCCGACCCGCACGAAAGGCGUAAUGAUUUGGAUACUGUCUCGGAGAGGGGCUCGGUGAAAUAGACUUGUCUGUGAAGAUGCGGACUACCUGCACCAGGACAGAAAGACCCUAUGAAGCUUUACUGUAACUUGAAAUUGAAAUUGGACUUUAUUCGCGCAGCAUAGGUGGGAGGCGUUGAUUAUAAUCUUGCGGGAUUAUUGGAGCCAUCAGUGAGAUACCACUCUUGUAAUGUUAGAUUUCUAACUUUGAAUCAUUAUCUGGUCAAAGAACAGCUUCAGGCGGGCAGUUUGACUGGGGCGGUCGCCUCCUAAACGGUAACGGAGGCGUACAAAGGUUUCCUCUGAACGGUUAGAAAUCGUAUCUAGAGUGUAAAGGCAUAAGGAAGCUUGACUGUGAGACCUACAAGUCGAGCAGGGACGAAAGUCGGUCUUAGUGAUCUGACGGUACUGAGUGGAAAGGCCGUCACUCAACGGAUAAAAGUUACUCUAGGAUAACAGGCUGAUCUCCCCCAAGAGUUCACAUCGACGGGGAGGUUUGGCACCUCGAUGUCGGCUCAUCGCAUCCUGGGGCGGUAGUACGUCCCAAGGGUUGGGCUGUUCGCCCAUGAAAGCGGUACGCGAGCUGGGUUCAGAACGUCGUGAGACAGUUCGGUCCAUAUCCGGUGUAGGCGUUAGAAUAUUGAGAGGAGCCUUCUUUAGUACGAGAGGACCGAGAAGGACAUACCUCUGGUGUACCAGUUAUCGUGCCAACGGUAAACGCUGGGUAGCUAUGUAUGGAGUGGAUAACCGCUGAAAGCAUCUAAGUGGGAAGCCCACCUCAAGAUAAGUAUUCUCAU
rnacentral:rRNA from 1 species